CACAACGAACGCUGGCGGCGCGUUUUAAGCAUGCAAGUCGAGGGGUAGAGAAUCUUCGGAUUCUUGAGACCGGCGAACGGGUGAGUAACACGUAGGUGAUCUGCCACGAGGUUGGGGAUAGCCCAUGGAAACAUGGGGUAAUACCGAAUGAGCUCUUUUUACUAUGGUGAGAAGAGGAAAAGCGCUUCGGCGCUGCCUUGUGAUGAGCCUGCGGCUGAUUAGCUAGUUGGUGGGGUAACGGCCUACCAAGGCAACGAUCAGUAGCCGGCCUGAGAGGGUGAUCGGCCACACUGGGACUGAGAUACGGCCCAGACUCCUACGGGAGGCAGCAGCUAAGAAUCUUCCGCAAUGGACGAAAGUCUGACGGAGCGACGCCGCGUGGGUGAAGAAGGCCGAGAGGUUGUAAAGCCCUUUUCUGUCUGAGGAAUAAGCUUGGGAGGGAAUGCCCGAGUGAUGACGGUAGGACAGGAAUAAGCCCCGGCUAAUUACGUGCCAGCAGCCGCGGUAACACGUAUGGGGCGAGCGUUGUUCGGAAUUAUUGGGCGUAAAGGGCGCGUAGGCGGAUAUACAAGUCUGGUGUGAAAGACCGCAGCUUAACUGCGGGAGCGCGCUGGACACUGUAUGUCUUGAAUCCUUGAGGGGAAACUGGAAUUCCUGGUGUACGGGUGAAAUCUGUCGAUAUCAGGAAGAACAUCGGUGGC
rnacentral:rRNA from 1 species